rnacentral:lncRNA from 1 species
GCAUUUGGGGAGCUCGGAUUUUAAGGCAGUAGCUUGCCGAUGCUCCCAGCUGAAUAAAGCCCUUCCUUCUACAACUCGGUGUCUGAGAAGUUUUGUCUGCGGCUAAUCCUGCUACGUUUCUUGGUUCCCUGACGGGGAAACGAGGUAACUGAUGGACAGCCGAGGCAGCCCCUUAGGCGGCUUAGGCCUGCCCUGUGGAGCAUCCUGCGGGGGACUCCGGCCAGCCUGAGUGACAGGAUCCAAAGAGCACUCCCGGGUAGGAAAUUGCCCCAGUGGAACGCCUUGCCAGAGCAGCGCAUAGCAGGCCCCCGUGGAGGAUUAACACAGUGGCUGAACACUGGGAAGGAACUGGCACUUGGAGUCCGGACAUCUGAAACUUGCUUUGGCUUCUCGAUUGGUUCUGAACUCCCAGGAAGGUGAAAAAGCAGCGUCAUUACUUAGCACCGGAAGCCCCGGCACUCAACAGGGAUACUGUGCAGUCCUGCAUGUGAGCAGCUCAAGAGUUCUUUUCAAGUGAGACCUGCUGCUAGGAGAGAAGUAAGCUGACAGCACCCAGCAACCACACUGUUGAGAACCCCUGUGGCAUCAUGUUCCUGCUGAGGCCGGCCACUUUCUUGCCAAACUACUUGCAGCCAGUGACUGAGCAUGGGAAAGCGAGACCCUAGAGCCCAGCUAUUCCUGCCCAGUGCAGGACUCCUCCAGACUUCCAGACUGCACUGCAGACUGAGGCACUUCCUAGCUGAGCCUCCUUCUUUUCUUCUCUCCUUUCAGCUGCUCCUGCUCCAUUGCCCAUUUCUCUCACCUUUAUCCUGCACUUCUGCUUCCAUCUUGGCAUCUUCUUCCCUCAAGACCCAACCUGACACCAUCAGUAUUAUUACACUCUUCAUUUCCCAGUGGAGGAGGUGGGGAUCCAGGCAAGAAAGACAAAGCGUAAAUAUGCUCCCUUUAAAAUUUUGUACUGCUCUAUCGCUUCUGGGUCUUUGGGCUAAGAUCAAGUGUAAAAGUUUGUACUACUCUUAGGUUUGAGGUUCACAUGAAAAGAACAUCUCAUCAACAUUUCAAAAGAAAAUUUGAAUGAAUUGUAUGUUGUACUAGUGUGUAAAAGAGAGACCGUGUCAUUUAUUCAUAAAACUGAGUCCAGUGGGACCUGCCCAUUCAAUGCAAAAAUGCAAAGGUAUGUAGGAUCUUAGAAAAUGAAAGACAAUGCUAAAGACAGGAACCAUUUCCAGCAUCUGUUGUUGAGGUCCGAAUCUGGAAAGACUCAGAAUGUAUUUAUCAGAAAAACAAUUUCCCCAGUAAGACAAUAGCUGCAAAGCUGGUCAUCACAUGCAAAUCUUGACCUUCACUUUUGCACAAUUUUGGAACAUGUAACUGGUAAGCACUACCUACAAUUUUUUGCUUUGCAGACAUGGAAAAUACAACAUACUGACAAAAUGGACUUUUAAAAUUUGGGUUUUACCUUAACAAAAUAAACUUGAGUCUGAUUCUUCAUCUUCAAACAUAUUAGAAAGGGAUAAAAGAAUUUCUCUGUGAUAUUUUAACCCUUAGGAAUAUCUGAACAUGAGUGUGUUUGUACACAUAAUUUAAAAAUUAAAUAUGUUUCUUUUCAUGGCAUAAUUUUCUAAAGGAAGGAGGGACAGGACUUACCCUCGCUAGAGUCUUUCGAACAUUCUGGCUUCUUUGCUUUGCUCUUUUUGUAGGGUGGAGAGAGGCCUUUUGGCUCUAACCCCUCUGGAAUCACGAAGAUUUAAUAUUCUCAUUUAAAUAUUUACCAGUAGGGUUCAAAAUUAUGUGAAAUUUAAAAAUGUUUUCUUCUUAGUAAACCUACACACACGCUGAAUCUUAAUUGCAGUUUCAUCUGUCAUCAUGGCUGAGCGAAAUUCUGGCAAGGACUUGUGGUUCUCCAACCUACAUAGACUUAAACUUAAGGCUUAAGCUAAAACAUUUUUGUAGAUAACAUUAGUGAUUCACACAAAUGUAAAAUCUUACACAUGUGCUUUUAUAAAUUUAGAAAUUCUCCAUAAGGGAACCCUGUUAAUAUUUUUUCCUCCAAGAGUGUUCGAUUUCAAUCUUCAUAGAUUAAUUGACAAUUGUCAUUGUGCAAUUUCAUCUUACUCAGUCCUGAACGCAGGGCUAGAGGAAUGGAGAAAGGAAUGGGGCUAGAAAUUACCCUGCUUCUAUUUAACAAACUGUUUUUAGUAAUCCAGAUUCUAAACAACUUCUGUAUGUCCCAGUUAAAUUACUGUGCUUCCUAUUUUCCUCAAUGUCCCUCUAAGUCUAUCCUUGGGGGCAAAUAAAUUAAAGUCUGAGGACAGUGUCAGGAAA